rnacentral:rRNA from 1 species
ACGCUAGCUACAGGCUUAACACAUGCAAGUCGAGGGGCAGCAUGAACUUAGCUUGCUAAGUUUGAUGGCGACCGGCGCACGGGUGAGUAACACGUAUCCAACCUGCCGAUGACUCGGGGAUAGCCUUUCGAAAGAAAGAUUAAUACCCGAUGGCAUAGUUCUUCCGCAUGGUAGAACUAUUAAAGAAUUUCGGUCAUCGAUGGGGAUGCGUUCCAUUAGGUUGUUGGCGGGGUAACGGCCCACCAAGCCUUCGAUGGAUAGGGGUUCUGAGAGGAAGGUCCCUCACAUUGGAACUGAGACACGGUCCAAACUCCUACGGGAGGCAGCAGUGAGGAAUAUUGGUCAAUGGACGAGAGUCUGAACCAGCCAAGUAGCGUGAAGGAUGACUGCCCUAUGGGUUGUAAACUUCUUUUAUACGGGAAUAAAGUGAGGCACGUGUGCCUUUUUGUAUGUACCGUAUGAAUAAGGAUCGGCUAACUCCGUGCCAGCAGCCGCGGUAAUACGGAGGAUCCGAGCGUUAUCCGGAUUUAUUGGGUUUAAAGGGAGCGUAGGCGGACGCUUAAGUCAGUUGUGAAAGUUUGCGGCUCAACCGUAAAAUUGCAGUUGAUACUGGGUGUCUUGAGUACAGUAGAGGCAGGCGGAAUUCGUGGUGUAGCGGUGAAAUGCUUAGAUAUCACGAAGAACUCCGAUUG